CCGCCACAUCUCUUGUUUUUAUUAUUUUUUAAAACCCUAAAAUAAUAUGUGAGCCCACUACAUCGACUAAAACCCCUAUUUUAUUUUGGUCUCAUCUCCUUCUUUCACAUUGCUAAGCUCUAACUAGAGAACCCACUGAGAAAUCCCACACAACUCUGGCCGACGUGAGGGUGUAUUUUGCAGGUUUCCCCUUACGGAUAUUCAAUAGUUAAUGGAUAAUGGAGAUAAAAGUUGGAUGGAUCUCCGAAGAUCAACGGCGGAGUACAUCCGUGGAUUGAACGAUUUUCUUGACAAAGAAUGAGUUGGGAAGCUUCCUCGGCACAUUGGCAAGGAAUGCGGCCCUUUGUCCUAUUUAUAUAUUGGAGGAAAAUGGACACAAAAGAGGAUCUGUGGGCAUAUACCGAGGAGAAGUAUGAUAUUCCUGAUGCAGCAAAAAAAUGGAUUAUUGGCAACAGUUCAAGCAGCCUGAAGAAAACAAAAGAGUCGAUUGAAAAAGGAUCACUUUGAAACCUAUGCAAAUGAUGAAAUUCAAGUGGAAAAUAGGCUUGAAGGUGUUCCAACAUUCCAAUUUAAGAGUCUCCUUGAGCAUUGGAAUGAUGAAAAAGUCAAAGCCGAAAUGGAUGAAACUGAAAUGCAACAAACCGAUAAUGGCAAUGAAUCUGUUAAUACAUUUGCAUUUGAAAUGGGACCUGAACAUCCAGGACGCUUGAGGUUGUAUGGACGAGGGGUUACAAGAAAUUCUUCGAAAGAGAAAGUGGGAUAUUUUGAACUAUCUCAAAAUUCUACAAUGAUCUCCAAAAGAUGGAAGAUUGGAUGCAAAAAAUGGAGGAAAAAAUUGAACAACAAAAUAUAACUAUACGUCAAGAAGUUGUCGAAGAUGUCAUCGGAAAACUUCAACGUUCAGGAUUAACACUUGAUCCUAACAUUAUAGCAACCAUUGUGCGAUCACUCUGCACCACAAGCAGCAAUUCAACUAAUCAAGGUCAGCGCAUUUCAGGUGGAACAAAUGAACAAGAGGUAGAUGAUGAAAGCAGUAAAGACCUUACUUGAGGGCCUUAGUUCUGUUAGAGCUUCAUAAGUUCUAGGAUCAUUCUAAUUUAGAAUUUUUUGCAAACUUAUCUAUGCUAACUUUGAAUUGUUAAACGAUACGUUAUUUAGCUAUUUUGCUUUUAUGUGGAUGAUGUUAGUUGAAUAUUUUGGAUAACUAUGUUGAUUACUAGUCUCAUUUCGUGAUUUA